rnacentral:rRNA from 1 species
AACGAACGCUGGCGGCAUGCCUAACACAUGCAAGUCGAACGAGACCUUCGGGUCUAUUGUCCCACGAGUUCGUAACCCGUGGGAACCUUCCCUUAUGGUCGGAAUAACUCCCCGAAAGGGGUACUAAUACCGGAUAAUAGCUUCUGACCAAAGAUUUAUCGCCUUUGGAGGUUCGCUCGUUGAAUUAGCUUGUUGUUAUGGUAAAAGCAUAUCAAGGCGACGAUCCAUAGCUGGUUUGAGAGGAUGAUCAGAGACACUGGGAGUGAGACACGGCCCAGAAUCCUACGGGAGGCAGCAGAGGGGAAUAGUGGACAAUGGGCGAAAGCCUGAUCCAGCAAUGACGCGUGAGUGAUGAAGGUAUUAGGGUUGUAAAGCUCUUUUAACUGGGAUGAUAAUGACAGUACCGGGAGAAUAAGCCACGGCUAACUACGUG